AAGGAUUUAAGUUAAUUUAAACUUUUAACCUUCAAAGUUAAAUAUAGGUAUUACCUAAGCCUUA
rnacentral:tRNA from 1 species